GCAAUGUGAGAAAUCGCGACGGGGGGAUCCCAAGUGCCAUUCUUAACGGGAUGGCUUUUCAUUAGUGUAAAAAGCUUUUGGAAUAAGAGCUGGGCAAGACCGGUGCCAGCCGCCGCGGUAACACCGGCAGCUCUAGUGGUAGCAAUUUUUAUUGGGCCUAAAGCGUCCGUAGCCGGUUUAAUAAGUCUCUGGUGAAAUCCUGUAGCUUAACUGUGGGAAUUGCUGGAGAUACUAUUAGACUUGAGACCGGGAGAGGUUAGAGGUACUCCCAGGGUAGAGGUGAAAUUCUGUAAUCCUGGGAGGACCGCCUGUUGCGAAGGCGUCUAACUGGAACGGUUCUGACGGUGAGGG
rnacentral:rRNA from 1 species